rnacentral:lncRNA from 1 species
GUUGCAAUAGAAAACAAUCAAAUACAUAGACCAGUCAAAAAAAAUUUCACCUUCAAGAAGCAUGCAAACUUCACUAUGAGAAAAAGAAAUAUUAUAAGAGAAGAUCUCAUCCUCAAUCCUCAUACACUCAAUCUCUCAAUUCCUGAAAUGACUGUUGUAUGCUUUCCAAGAACACUGCUCUUGCUCUUCUCAGCAUCGCAUCACCUCUCUAUUCUCUCUCUGGGUUUUCUGCCCGAUGAAACCGCGCCCACGCCACCAUAUUCUAUUUCUGUUUACGCACAGGCCUUAUAAAGGCUUAAAAAACAAAACAAAUAGGAAUAGAAUUCCUUACAACACCCGGAUAACUCUUCUGAACCGUCGGAUCGAGGCCAGCAACGUCCCAGACCACCGGAUCGCGUGUUGGUCUAUGGAAUAAGAUGUGGAUCGCAAGAAACACGCAUGAAACGCGCGUGAAACGCCACGCGGUCCACGGUGGACCACAAA